AGAAACAUCUACAACAACAGGGUUUUUAAAUGAAGUGAAAAUAGAGCUGGUGCUUUACUCUUAUGAUUUAUUUACAGAUGAACUCUCAGAUUCACAAUCUUCUGCUUUCAAAAACAGGGCUCGUUUGUUUGAAGAUUUACUGUCAGAUCUUUUCAAGACGUUUCAUUCCUUCCUAAGAGUCACUGUGCUAAACUUCAGGAAGGGCUCAGUCAUUACCACAACAGAUGUCAUUUUCAACUCUACACAGGAUAAUAUCCCAACAGAGGAUCAAGUUGCAAACACAUUACUGAAUGCAAAAGCAACUCUCAACACCCUGAACAUAACUUCGUUAAUAGUUAAUGGUACAGAUUACUCAUCAACCACAACAACUCCUGCUGCAACAUCUACAACAACUGAGACUUCCACAAUCACAACAACUGCUCCAGAAACAUCCUCCACUAUCACAGCAGAAAC